AAUAGAUACCCGGGUAGUCCACCCCGUAAACGUUGGGAACUAGUUGUGGGGUCCUUUCCACGGAUUCCGUGACGCAGCUAACGCAUUAAGUUCCCCGCCUGGGGAGUACGGCCGCAAGGCUAAAACUCAAAGGAAUUGACGGGGACCCGCACAAGCGGCGGAGCAUGCGGAUUAAUUCGAUGCAACGCGAAGAACCUUACCAAGGCUUGACAUACACGAGAACACCCUAGAAAUAGGGGACUCUUUGGACACUCGUGAACAGGUGGUGCAUGGUUGUCGUCAGCUCGUGUCGUGAGAUGUUGGGUUAAGUCCCGCAACGAGCGCAACCCUCGUUCUAUGUUGCCAGCACGUAAUGGUGGGAACUCAUGGGAUACUGCCGGGGUCAACUCGGAGGAAGGUGGGGAUGACGUCAAAUCAUCAUGCCCCUUAUGUCUUGGGCUUCACGCAUGCUACAAUGGCCGGUACAAAGGGCUGCAAUACCGUGAGGUGGAGCGAAUCCCAAAAAGCCGGUCCCAGUUCGGAUUGAGGUCUGCAACUCGACCUCA
rnacentral:rRNA from 1 species